AUGCUCACUUUGGCAGCAUGUAUACUAAAAUUGGAACAAUACAGAGAAAAUUUGCAUGGCCCAUGAGCAAGGAUGAUAUGUAAAUUCAUGAAAUGUUCUAUACUUUU
rnacentral:snRNA from 1 species